rnacentral:pre_miRNA from 1 species
UGGGUCUGACAUCAGCCUGCUUGGGAUUUUGUGUUAUACAUCACAAGUAUGAUGAUGUCAAACCCA